UUUUAAAAACUAUACAUCCUACAGAGAAGAGAUUUAUAUUGUGAUAUAAUAUAAAGCUCUUCGCUGUAGGAUGUAUAGUUUUUAAAA
rnacentral:miRNA from 1 species